rnacentral:rRNA from 1 species
AUUGAACGCUGGCGGCAGGCCUAACACAUGCAAGUCGAGCGGAGCGGCGGACGGGUGAGUAAUACCUAGGAAUCUGCCCGAUCGUGGGGGAUAACGUUCGGAAACGGACGCUAAUACCGCAUACUCUCAGAUGAGCCUAGGCCGGAUUAGCUAGCUGGUGAGGUAAUGGCUCACCAAGACCACGAUCCGUAACUGGUCUGAGAGGAUGACCAGUCACACUGGAACUGAGACACGGUCAAGACUCCUACGGGAGGCAGCAGUGGGGAAUAUUGGAAAAUGGGCGAAAGCCGGAUGCAGCCAUGCCGCGUGUGUGAAGAAGGUCUUCGGAUUGUAAAGCACUUUAAGUUGGGAGGCGUUACCAACAGAAUAAGCACCGGCUAACUAUGUGCCAGUCGCCGCGGUAAUUC